GAGAGAGAGAAGAGGACAGGAGAGAGGGAGGAGAGAUAUCAAAUUAGGAUACAAAUAAUUUGCUAUAUAAUUAAAAUAUUGUUUUUUUAAUAAUUUUUUGAAAAUAUAAUUAUUUUCCAUAAAUAAUUUGAUAAUUUUGGCUAGUUUGAUAAUUUUCCCAAAUAAUAAAUCAACAAAGAGUUGAUUGAUCCAAAGCUAGAUUUAGCCCAAAAGAACUAUCAUAGAGGCAUUAUCAGUGUAUCGACAGAUUAUUCGACAAUCUUCUCCAAGUGUUGAGAAAGAACUUGAAAAUAUUGUCGGAGUCUUAUUGUUGGAACUGCUUCUUUGUUCUUCUCCUCCUCUAUAUAAUCUUACAGGUUGAUCCUGAUAAAGCAUUCUGAGUUAAGCUCUGCAUCGAGCCUAUACUGUUUCAAUGUAGUUGGGUGUAUCCAUUUCUGAAUGAAUCUGAAAAAGGGUGUUGUCAAGGAUCUCAGGUUUUAGUUCUCGUGUGCAGGCAAUUCUUGAAAAUAAAGUUUGAAGGAUUUGGAGAUAAAACUCACUGAAAUACACCGGUGAUAGAACCAUCGUCCAAAAGGAUGGAAUCAACGUCCCGCUGGCUUGACGCCGGCUAGACUAGAAAGAAAAUUGUCUUAAGCACCAACAUUAAAUAAUUGCAAAUCGGGGUUCUGUUGAUCCUAGUGCAGAUCAGAUCCGGCCGGAAAGAAACACACUGAGGUGGUGACGUGACCGACGCUGAAUGCUUCUGCACCAGCGUUUCACUGGUUCAACACAAUUGGAAUACAAAAGCUCAAAGACAAAAACAUAUUUAAUCCUGAAAGUGCUUUUUUUGAAAGGUUUCAAUGAUAAUAUUGAAAUUUAUGUAAUUAUGUAUCAUUAUCUUCUUCUCAAUUGGGGAAAGGUUUCAUAAAGAUUUCUAUUAGUGAAAGUAUAAAAUAGAAAAUAGCUUGUAGAGUUCUUACUUACUCAAGAAGGAAACUUAAAUUUGUACAUCUUUAAGCUUGAAUUCAACUUUGGUUAUUGUUUAUGCUUGAAAUGGAGCUUUUC